GCUGAAACUCGGAAUCAGAUUUUCACAGUUUCUUUUUUAGUUCCACCUUUAAAUUGUAAUUUGUAUGCCUUACAAUUUCAGUCCUAUGACCAAAAUAAAAUCGAUUUGAACGAAAUUUAAUUGAAAUAAAGUGGGGACUACCUUAAUGUGAUGGGUGUUUGAGUAAUUUCAAGAAGAGAAGCAAUGUAAAUGUUAAGUUUAACGGGUGAAAAUAGGCUUAGAAACAUCAAAAAGAAUUGAAAUUACAGGAAGAUGCAUCGAAAUUUAAUAUUUAACAUUAUGAGCGAAUGAACACAAAAAAAAGUAAAACAAAAAUAUCUCACUAAGGAAUUCAUCUUAAGGGGUCGUCUAUAAAUGACGUCCACUCGCAACAUUGAGGGGUCUUUUUGCGUCCAUGCGUGCUUCAUGUCCUACCCGCCUCAGCCGUAGAACUUUCACCAUUGCCACAAAAUCCGGCUCGCCAAAAUCACGUUUCAAUUCAAAGUUGUAGUGUCGCAGCCACCUUUCGCCUUCACGAAAAUAGUACGAAGAACCUUAACGCUCGAACGUUAGGAGCAGCUGUUCAUCACUUCUCUUCACCGUCCAAGAUUCGCAUCCAUAGAUCAGAACUGGACGAAUGGGCGUUUUGUAAACUUGGCACUGUGUUUUCUUCGAUAUGUGAUUAGAUUACUUUCUUUUAGCUACACUAGGAUAGGAUAAUAUGGGCAGAAAAGCUGAUUUUUUGUUUUCUUAGGGACCUUCUACCAGUGGUAACUAACAGCAAAGACUAAUCAUUUACGAUUAGGAAAAACCCUAUGAACUAUGUCUGACGCGGGAGUCGAACCCGUGACAUAUAGGGCGCGAGUCCAUCGCUCUACCGAUUGAGCUACCUGGACGGUUACACUAAAUGUUAGAUCUAAUUAGAGAGAAUAGCAAGGAAAAAUACCAUAAAAUUCACGAAUUUAUUUACUUUGAUUUAUUUCAUCUCACACACAGACAUGUUUUGUUUUUACAUUGAUUUAUGACUCUCAGUUUAUUGUGUGAAAGCCAUUCUACUAUUUACAUUGAUUUGAAAAUAUAUUAAUUUUCCGCUAAA